AUGAAGACCAUUCUCAGCAAUGAGACUGUCAACAUUCCAGAAAAUGUCGACAUCACUCUGAAGGGGCGCACAGUCAUUGUGAAGGGCCCCAGGGGAACUCUGCAGAGGGACUUCAGUCACAUCAAUGUAGAGCUGAGCCUUCUUGGAAAGAAAAAAAAAAAGGCUCUGGGUUGACAAAUGGUGGGGUAACAGAAAGGAACUGGCCACUGUCAGAACCAUCUGCAGUCAUGUUCAGAACAUGAUCGAGGGUGUCACACUGGGCUUCCGUUACAAGAUGAGGUCUGUGUGUGCUCACUUCCCCAUCAGUGUCGUCAGUCAGGAGAAUGGGUUUUUGGUUGUAAUAGGAAAUUUCUUGGGUGAAAAAUACAUCCGCAGGGUUUGGAUGAGGACAGGUGUUGCUUGUUCUGUCUCUUAAGCCCAGAAGGAUGAAUUAAUCCUUGCAGGAAAUGAUAUUGAACUUGUUUCAAAUUUAGCGACUCUGAUUCAGCAAGCUACAACAGUUAAAAAAACAAAGAUAUCAGAAGGUUUUUGGAUGGCAUCUGUGUGCCUGAGAAGGGAACUGUGCAGCAGGCUGACGAGUGA